UACGUAGGUGGCAAGCGUUGUCCGGAUUUACUGGGCGUAAAGAGCGCGCAGGCGGUCGUGCAAGUCGCGUGUGAAAGCCCCCGGCUCAACCGGGGAGGGUCGUCGGGGACCGCACCGCUUGAGGGCGGUAGGGGCUGGUGGAAUGCCUGGUGUAGUGGUGAAAUGCGUAGAGAUCAGGCGGAACACCCGUGGCGAAGGCGGCCAGCUGGGCCGUCCCUGACGCUGAGGCGCGAAAGCUAGGGGAGCAAACGGG
rnacentral:rRNA from 1 species